rnacentral:sRNA from 1 species
UAUCUCUCCGUACGGGGAAGGAUGAGAAGCUUCGACUAAGGUUCGAUUCGAGCGAAAGCGAGAAAGCGUUGCCAACGGCAACGACCCGAAGGGCGAAGCGCGAAGCGCGCAGCGCUGAGUCAUCCUUCCCCCACCACCA